rnacentral:rRNA from 1 species
UGUUGCUUUGGCACGCCGCCUUCGGGCACCGGCUCCGGCUGGCUCGCGCGUGUCAGAGGAUCUAAAACUCUGAAUGUUAGUGUCGUCUGAGUACUAUCUAAUAGUUAAAACUUUCAACAACGGAUCUCUUGGUUCUGGCAUCGAUGAAGAACGCAGCGAAAUGCGAUAAGUAAUGUGAAUUGCAGAAUUCAGUGAAUCAUCGAAUCUUUGAACGCACAUUGCGCCCGGUGGCAUUCCGCCGGGCAUGCCUGUUCGAGCGUCAUUUAAACCAAUCCAGCCUCGUGCUUGGGUCUUGGGCCUUUCGCCUCUGGGCGGGCCUCAAAAUCAGUGGCGGCGCCUCCUGGCUCUACGCGUAGUAAUACUCCUCGCUAUAGAUGUCUGGUGGUGUCCUGCCAAAACCCCCAUAUUUUUUAAGGUUGACCUCGGAUCAGGUAGGGAUACCCGCUGAACUUAAGCAUAUCAAUAAGCCGGA